rnacentral:rRNA from 1 species
UAACACGUGGGUGAUCUGCCUCGCACUCUGGGAUAAGCCUGGGAAACUGGGUCUAAUACCGGAUAUGACCAUUGAUCGCAUGGUUGGUGGUGGAAAGAUUUAUCGGUGCGAGAUGGGCCCGCGGCCUAUCAGCUUGUUGGUGGGGUAAUGGCCUACCAAGGCGACGACGGGUAGCCGACCUGAGAGGGUGACCGGCCACACUGGGACUGAGACACGGCCCAGACUCCUACGGGAGGCAGCAGUGGGGAAUAUUGCACAAUGGGCGAAAGCCUGAUGCAGCGACGCCGCGUGAGGGAUGACGGCCUUCGGGUUGUAAACCUCUUUCGACAGGGACGAAGCGCGAGUGACGGUACCUGUAGAAGAAGCACCGGCCAACUACGUGCCAGCAGCCGCGGUAAUACGUAGGGUGCGAGCGUUGUCCGGAAUUACUGGGCGUAAAGAGCUUGUAGGCGGUUCGUCGCGUCGAUUGUGAAAACUUGCAGCUCAACUGCAAGCUUGCAGUCGAUACGGGCGGACUAGAGUACUUCAG